AACGAACGCUGGCGGCAUGCCUAACACAUGCAAGUCGAACGAGACCUUCGGGUCUAGUGGCGCACGGGUGCGUAACGCGUGGGAACCUGCCCUUAGGUUCGGAAUAACUCCCCGAAAGGGGUGCUAAUACCGGAUAAUGUCUUCGGACCAAAGAUUUAUCGCCUUUGGAUGGGCCCGCGUUGGAUUAGCUAGUUGGUAGGGUAAAAGCCUACCAAGGCGACGAUCCAUAGCUGGUCUGAGAGGAUGAUCAGCCACACUGGGACUGAGACACGGCCCAGACUCAUCGGGGGAGAAGCAGGGGGGAAUAUGGAAAAAGGGGGAAAGGCUGAACCAGCCAUGCCCGGGGGAGUAUUAAGGCCUUUGGGUUUGAAAAGCUUUUUUCCCGGGAAGAAAAAGGAAAGACCGGGGAAAAAAGGCCCGGCAUACCCCCGUG
rnacentral:rRNA from 1 species